GACGAACGCUGGCGGCGUGCUUAACACAUGCAAGUCGAACGAUGAAGAAGAGAAACGCGAACUUCGGUUCAACUUUCACUUCGGAUUAGUGGCAGACGGGUGAGUAACGCGUUAGCAACCUACCUCUUACAAAGGGAUAGCCUCGGGAAACCGUGAUUAAUACCAUAUGACACAUUCAUAAGGCAUCUUAAGAAUGUUAAAGCUACGGCGGUAAGAGAUGGGCUCGCGUCCCAUUAGCUAGUUGGUGAGGUAACGGCCCACCAAGGCGACGAUGGGUAACCGGCGUGAGAGGGUGAACGGUCACAUUGGAACUGAGACACGGUCCAAACUCGUAAGGGAGGAAGCAGUGGGAAAGAAUGAACAAUGGAGGGAACACUGAGGAAGCGACGCCGCGUGAGCGAUGAAGGAAUUCGUUUCGUAAAGCUCUGUUCUAUGGGAAGAAAAGGACUGUACAAUAGGAGAAAGCCCCGGCUAAAUAAGUG
rnacentral:rRNA from 1 species